GUUGGCUGUGAUGACACACUUAGCCUCACUUAGGAGUGCUUUGAUAAUGAGAACACCUUAAUACUCAAAUAACUUCUGAGCCAAU